CCCCGUACACAAAAAUGCACAUGCUGUGAGCUCGAUGAGUAGGGCGGGACACGUGGUAUCCUGUCUGAAUAUGGGGGGACCAUCCUCCAAGGCUAAAUACUCCUGACUGACCGAUAGUGAACCAGUACCGUGAGGGAAAGGCGAAAAGAACCCCGGCGAGGGGAGUGAAAAAGAACCUGAAACCGUGUACGUACAAGCAGUGGGAGCACGCUUAGGCGUGUGACUGCGUACCUUUUGUAUAAUGGGUCAGCGACUUAUAUUCUGUAGCAAGGUUAACCGAAUAGGGGAGCCGAAGGGAAACCGAGUCUUAACUGGGCGUUAAGUUGCAGGGUAUAGACCCGAAACCCGGUGAUCUAGCCAUGGGCAGGUUGAAGGUUGGGUAACACUAACUGGAGGACCGAACCGACUAAUGUUGAAAAAUUAGCGGAUGACUUGUGGCUGGGGGUGAAAGGCCAAUCAAACCGGGAGAUAGCUGGUUCUCCCCGAAAGCUAUUUAGGUAGCGCCUCGUGAAUUCAUCUCCGGGGGUAGAGCACUGUUUCGGCAAGGGGGUCAUCCCGACUUACCAACCCGAUGCAAACUGCGAAUACCGGAGAAUGUUAUCACGGGAGACACACGGCGGGUGCUAACGUCCGUCGUGAAGAGGGAAACAACCCAGACCGCCAGCUAAGGUCCCAAAGUCAUGGUUAAGUGGGAAACGAUGUGGGAAGGCCCAGACAGCCAGGAUGUUGGCUUAGAAGCAGCCAUCAUUUAAAGAAAGCGUAAUAGCUCACUGGUCGAGUCGGCCUGCGCGGAAGAUGUAACGGGGCUAAACCAUGCACCG
rnacentral:rRNA from 1 species